GAUGAACGCUGGCGGCGUGCCUAAUACAUGCAAGUCGAGCGAACGGACGAGAAGCUUGCUUCUCUGAUGUUAGCGGCGGACGGGUGAGUAACACGUGGAUAACCUACCUAUAAGACUGGGAUAACUUCGGGAAACCGGAGCUAAUACCGGAUAAUAUUUUGAACCGCAUGGUUCAAAAGUGAAAGACGGUCUUGCUGUCACGUAUAGAUGGAUCCGCGCUGCAUUAGCUAGUUGGUAAGGUAACGGCUUACCAAGGCGACGAUGCAUAGCCGACCUGAUGGGGUGAACGGCGCCAGUGGAGGUGAGCGGCGGUCCAGGCACCGACGGGAGGCAGCAGCAGGUACGGUACGGAACAGUGGGAAAGCCUGACGGAGGAACGCCGCGUGAGUGAUGAAGGGCUGCGGAUCGGAAAACGCUGUUAUGAGGGAAGAACAUAUGUGUAAGUAACGGUGCGUGUCUUGACGGAACCGAUUCAGAAGGCCAGGCCUAAUUACGG
rnacentral:rRNA from 1 species